rnacentral:rRNA from 1 species
GACGAACGCUGGCGGCGUGCUUAACACAUGCAAGUCGAACGGUAAGGCCCUUCGGGGUACACGAGUGGCGAACGGGUGAGUAACACGUGGGUGAUCUGCCCUGCACUUCGGGAUAAGCCUGGGAAACUGGGUCUAAUACCGGAUAGGACCACGGCCUGCAUGGGUGGUGGGGGAAAGCUUUUGCGGGGUGGGAUGGGCCCGCGGCCUAUCAGCUUGUUGGUGGGGUGAUGGCCUACCAAGGCGACGACGGGUAGCCGGCCUGAGAGGGUGACCGGCCACACUGGGACUGAGAUACGGCCCAGACUCCUACGGGAGGCAGCAGUGGGGAAUAUUGCACAAUGGGCGCAAGCCUGAUGCAGCGACGCCGCGUGAGGGAUGACGGCCUUCGGGUUGUAAACCUCUUUCAGCACCGACGAAGCGCAAGUGACGGUAGGUGCAGAAGAAGGACCGGCCAACUACGUGCCAGCCGCCGCAGUAA